UAGGGAAUCUUCGGCAAUGGACGGAAGUCUGACCGAGCAACGCCGCGUGAGUGAAGAAGGUUUUCGGAUCGUAAAGCUCUGUUGUAAGAGAAGAACGAGUGUGAGAGUGGAAAGUUCACACUGUGACGGUAUCUUACCAGAAAGGGACGGCUAACUACGUGCCAGCAGCCGCGGUAAUACGUAGGUCCCGAGCGUUGUCCGGAUUUAUUGGGCGUAAAGCGAGCGCAGGCGGUUAGAUAAGUCUGAAGUUAAAGGCUGUGGCUUAACCAUAGUACGCUUUGGAAACUGUUUAACUUGAGUGCAAGAGGGGAGAGUGGAAUUCCAUGUGUAGCGGUGAAAUGCGUAGAUAUAUGGAGGAACACCGGUGGCGAAAGCGGCUCUCUGGCUUGUAACUGACGCUGAGGCUCGAAAGCGUGGGGAGCAAACAGGAUUAGAUACCCUGGUAGUCCACGCCGUAAACGAUGAGUGCUAGGUGUUAGACCCUUUCCGGGGUUUAGUGCCGCAGCUAACGCAUUAAGCACUCCGCCUGGGGGGUACGACCGCAAGGUUG
rnacentral:rRNA from 1 species